ensembl:lncRNA
UUUCUAAAUUGCUUUUUAUCUAUUUUGUGCCUCCUGAUAGAUUAGUUCAGGUAAAAUUCUGGCUGAUUUUUGACUGAAGGAUUCAUAUCACUACCAAAAAAAUUCUUAAUUGGUCUCAUUCAUUUUACAUCAUUAAAGAGCCCAUCUUUUAAACAGGCUGGCUUUGAAUCUCCUGCACCUGGCCUGUAGAUGAGCAGAGUUAUUUGAUUAUGGAUUAUUUUGAAGACUGGCAUCUCCCAUGGACUGUGUAGUGAAACACCACUCGCCUAAAGGAAACACAAACUCAAUGCUAAGCUCAAGAAGACUGAAUGACUGAGGAAGGUGUACAAGUUAGCCAUGGACCUGAGACACCAAUUGGGACCCCAAGCGACGGAAGUCAAUUUGAACCCACGUAGUUUUGUUCUCAGUUCCCAGUUGAAUGAAGAACUUGUUUCUCUAUCUGAGAUGCAUCUCUGGGGACAAAACUGGAUCUGUGUACCUGGAUGAAGUUGGUCCUUUUUUACCAAAGUAGAAGAUAACUAUGGGUGAUUCCCCUGGCCCCUUCAUCUACUACAAAUGUGUGAGGUCCUUUCUCUGGCUCCUGGAGAGAGAGAAUUUGAUUCUAGCUCUUUCAUUUCUGAAGGAAGAAACUAAUGAUAAAGCUACAAUAUAUCCCUGGAAAAAGGGAAUAUUUGCCUUUGACACUGAAGAUAUUAAUAUAAGAUAAUUAAUAUUAAGAUAUAAAUAUGGCUGUUUAUAAAAUAGACAUAUUUAACAAAGAGCGUUGACUAGAUCUUUAAUCUGUAAAGAUGCGGUUCAUAAACUACAGAUGUUUAGAGUUUUCAUAAAUCCUAAAGUUUGUGGACAAUAUUGUAAGAAUACAAAAUGCAAUUCUGGCUUAAAAAAAAAAAAAAUCUGCAGAGAGCAAACUUCUCUAUUCACUCCUUAAACUGUUCUACUUUAAUGGCAUAAACAAAGAACACACUGAGCACUAUGCCAAACUAAUUUGUCUUGAACAAAAUUGGAGCACUCUGCUUGUAGGGGAAAUAUUCAUUAAAAUUUUACCUGCAUCUUCAGGUACCUCCUGCGUAACUAACUCAGUGAUUUGCAAUUAAGCAAAGUUGUUCAAUACAGUAAUGUGCCUUUUUUUCCUCAUCCUGUCCUUCAAAUCAUAUUACAAAAGCUUCUACACUCAGCCAGGCAGCUUGCUGUAAGGAGCUCAUUUGUAAAAAAAUGUGACACGCUCUGUACAGUCUAUCAUCAAAUUGUCUGUGUAGCAUAAUCCCCACUCUGUGAUGUCAAAAAGGUAGAGUGUAUUCAGCUGUCUAUCUCUUCUUAAUGCUUGUUAAGCCUUUGAUGAAGUCAGUGAGCCAAAACUAAACAUAAAAAAUAGAUGCUCUUUUGGAAGCAUUAUGGAAGGGUACUCAGACAUGCAGUCAUUUAAAGGAAAAUAUGGUAUGUAGUAUGAAAAGAAGAAUAGGUAUCAUUGGAGGCUAUUUUUAGCUUGAAUUCCCAUUAUAGUGCUGUUGGAGAAGUUCCCUUUGUCUCCUUUGCCUAAGGACCUUGACAAUCCUUAUCCAUAAGGACUAGAAGAAUAGAUGAGAGUAUUAUAGAAAAAAGAGGAGGUGUCCUACCUGCAGGCAACUAAUAAGAAAUAAGCUAAAAACAGUUCUGAAGAUAAAUGAUUGCUUCUCUGACUUAUUUAUUUAUUUAUUGAGCAACCAGAAUCAUUGCAGCAUGUUUUUGCAUUUCUUCAUUUGGUGACAUGCAGGUCCGAGACUAGGAGAUGUAAGCAUUUAUCAUAUAAAAAGCGUGAUGAUGUGUGUCAGCAAAGGUAUAGCACAACUACAGUACCCUGUCACAUAGACAUAUUAUGUUUGUUGAGUCAUGUAUGUAAAGACUUUGCCAAAAAAAAAAAAAAAAGUGUAAAAUUUGGUGGUCAGACUGAUAGAUUCAAGGUAGGUAAUAAAAAAGAAACUAAGCUAAAACAGAAGGGUCACUAGUGUUGUAUUUUGGAGAUGAGAAGAAGACUAGUUAAGAGGGGAGAAUAAGGAUGCUGAGAAUGUGGUGGUGAGGCAGUCAUAUGUAUGACAUCUACCACAAAGUAGGUACAGUAGCCCCUGUUCAAACAAGUAGGUUUUUUGUUGGUGAUGACAGAGAUUUUGCACAAUUUUUUGCUUUCAUUCUUUCUAUAUUUUUCAGUUCUUCAAAUGCAAUGCAAUAAAGACCAUGCAGAAAUAAAUACGGC